ensembl:lncRNA
GUGCAAUGAAUCUAGAAUAUAAGAAAGUUUGCUUUUUUGAAUUAAAUUACAAAAAAUAAGUAGCUUUUGUGAGAAUGACACAAAACACUGCUGAGAAUUUGGGAUAAACCCAGCUAACAAAAAUAUGUUCUAAGAACUUUUUGUUAAGAUUCUUAAUAAGUUAUUAAAUCGUUAUUUCUGAAUAUUCAACACAUGCAGUUUUAUUAUUAUUAUUAUUAUUAUUAUUAUUUUAAUUUGAAUUAAAAAUGUGUUAUUUUUUCUUGGUUAUGCAAAUAUUAAGGGAACCUUCCACAUCCAACUAAAAUGUAUCAAGUAAAAAGGUUACAUGAGCGAUACAUAUAUUUUCGUAAAUAACAUUUUGAGAAAAUUAAUAAAGACCAUAUAACUUUGAAUAAACAUUAUAUUAAUUUUAUUGGAAGAAUGUUGCCAAACGUUCUGACAAUGUUCACCGUUCACUUGUAUUGUCAAAUACACAGUGCAAAAAAAAAUCGAAUGGUCCUAAAAGAUAUAUAAGUAAAGUAUGCUAAAUUAAAUGAAACUAAAUAUGAUAUAUUAUAAUAUAACACAAUAUAAUAUCGUAUCAUAUAAAAAAGUGAAUGUUUGCAAACACUGGUGUGUGAUGCUUUUUCGCUGAAACCCAGAAUAAGUUUCUGAUUAUCUUACAGAGCUGCAAAAACAGACACCAUACUGCGCUGCGGUCACCUUUAUCCAAGGCUUCCUGUUAAUUCAGUUAGUUAUUCACACAGUUAACUGACCAGCACUUUGUGAACAUUAUAUUACUGUUGAAUGUUGCUACAGUACAGUACAGUAGGCCCAUUCAGUUUGUUUGAAUAAAACUAGUGAGAACGAUCCUGUUUUGUGUGCUGUUCUCUUUCAACCCAGGAGCUCUCAGUCUGGUGAAAGCAAACCCAUGAUUUGGGACAGGGCCAAUCCAAGAGUUCUCAAAGCUUCAGAGCCCCACUGGAGAGAAACUACAGUCCAGAGCAACCGUGGGAACAUGCAAAACUCAGGUGGUGAAGGUCAGAGAGGGACGCUACAAACACGUGGAGUGCUAUACCUGCAGGGACUGUGCUUUUAGUCUCAUGGAGUGAGGACAUUUCUGUGUGGAUGAGGAGCUGUACACACCAGACAGCCAAUGGCCUCCACUUACCCCUGAACACUUGAACUCAGUGCCAUGUUUUAGUAUGUUCAUUAUUAAGUAUGUUUUCAGCAGUUUUAUUUUACUAUCUUUGAGCUAUAUUGAAGUUUUUUUUGUUUUUUAUUUAAAUAUUUUCCAUUCUAAUUUUUUGAUUUAUUUAGUCAUUUUAUUGUGUAUUUUUGUAACGUUUUUGUAUUUUCUGUAUUCUAUAUAUGUCUACAUAGUUUUUUAUUAAAUUUCAGUUUUAGUUAUAUUAGUACACAAAGUUAAACAAAAUUAAAAUGGGAAACUUGCCUUGCAAACUAGCUGAAUUUUAUUUCAGUUAAUGUUUAUUUUAUUUCAAGUAUCACAUUUUUUUUAUGUUAUAACUAAAAUAGCAAGUAUAUUUCAUGGUCAUGUUUUUUAAUGAUGCUCAUAAAAAUGCAAUUGCUCCAAAACUUUUACGAUAGUUGCAAACAUAUAUUUCACGUAAAAAUUUUACUCUAUGCAAUACAAAA